rnacentral:rRNA from 1 species
CCUACGGGAGGCAGCAGUGAGGAAUAUUGGUCAAUGGACGGGAGUCUGAACCAGCCAAGCCGCGUGAAGGAAGACGGCUCUAUGGGUUGUAAACUUCUUUUGUAAGGGAGUAAAUCCCGGCACGUGUACCCGGUUGAAUGUAACUUAUGAAUAAGGAUCGGCUAACUCCGUGCCAGCAGCCGCGGUAAUACGGAGGAUUCGAGCGUUAUCCGGAUUUAUUGGGUUUAAAGGGUGCGUAGGGGGUUUGAUAAGUCAGUUGUGAAAGCCCGGGGCUCAACUCCGGCACUGCCUUUGAUACUGGCAGUCUCGAGUUGAGUUGAGGUAGGCGGAAUGCGUGGUGUAGCGGUGAAAUGCAUAGAGAUCACGCAGAACCCCGAUUGCGAAGGCAGCUUACCAAACUCUGACUGACGUUGAGGCACGAAAGCGUGGGUAUCAAACAGGAUUAGAUACCCUUGUAGUC